rnacentral:rRNA from 1 species
CCUACGGGGGGCUGCAGUGGGGAAUAUUGCGCAAUGGGCGAAAGCCUGACGCAGCGACGCCGCGUGAGGGAUGAAGGUCUUCGGAUCGUUAACCUCUGUCAGCAGGGAAGCACGGUCACUGUGCUAAUCAGCAGUGAAUUGACGGUACCUGCAAAGGAAGCACCGGCUAACUCCGUGCCAGCAGCCGCGGUAAUACGGGGGGUGCGAGCGUUAAUCGGAAUUACUGGGCGUAAAGCGCUCGUAGGCGGUAUGUCAAGUCAAGAGUGAAAUCCCCGCGCUCAACGUGGGAACUGCCUUUGAAACUGGCAAACUGGAGUGUGUGAGAGGUUAGUGGAAUGCCAGGUGUAGGAGUGAAAUCCGUAGAUAUCGGGAGGAACAUCAGUGGCGAAGGCGACUAUCUGGCACAUAACUGACGCUGAGGAGCGAAAGCGUGGGUAGCAAACAGGAUUAGAUACCCUGGUAGUC